GCGAGUUUCUCACCAUUAAUUUUGCAGCCCGAAACUUUCCAGCUCCGAUGAAGAUACAGAGGCUUCUCCGUCGAUUGGAAGCCAGCCGGCCACCGGAGACGGCGGCGUACCGACUACCGACCGUAUUCGCAUCCUGUAGCGGCGAUGAAAAAUUGAAAAUCCGUAUCGGGGAAGGAACGGACCGCAUCCUCUUGCUGUUUCCAGUGCAAGGUUUUAACUUUUGUGGAGUUGUUCAUGCAAGACGCUGAUCGGUAGUGAUUGCUUCAGGGUUUAGCAAUUACAUGCAAUGCAUAUCGCAAUGGUAAUUCUGGUUUUAGAGAAUGAAUGUGCUGAAAUUGGUAUUGGAUUGACAUCAGUGAUGAUGUUUGGAGUUUAAAAGAAGGUGAAAUCUGAUAAAAAUUGGAAAUUUGAACCAUACAGAGAGGAUUAGAUUAGAUCAAGAAUGACAGUUCACAAUUUGAGAUCAGAGAUGUUGAAACUAUAAAUUCUAAGGGUCAUGAAAAUGAAGUCAAAAUUGCCUUUUGGAAUGGAUCUAGUUGGCUGCUUGCAAUCUGUGGGCAAGAUCUAACAGUUUGGGAAUGGGAAGCUUUGCCAGGUAAAGUGUUUCAGUACUUGAAGAACACCAUGAUGUUGUGAUGGUGAAAUGGCAUCCUUUCAUGGAUAUUUUGUUUUCAUGUAGCUGUGAUGAAUUAUUGAUGAUACUGGCAAGGUAUACGAAACUUUCAAAUGUGCUUUUCUAAUCCCGUUAUGGUAUUACCUAUAACUACUUACUUGUUCUCAUUGUCCAUCUCCCUUACAAGUUACCAAAUAUUGUGCUUGAUGUGCCAAACUUUAGGUCUGGGUAUAGGAUAGUAAUAGUUAUUGUGAUAAUUGACGUUAUGCUCAAACCUAGACAAAUUGCUCCCACCAUGCCACACUUUUAAUUUGUUCCAUUCUGUAGAAUACACGCAUAAUUCUUGAAUUGCCUACCAUCCUUUAAUUUGUUUAGGAAGUAUGGUGAUUACACUUGCUCCAUGUAAGCCUCAAUCAAGUCAUAUGUUGUUUUGACCAUGUGGUUUUGAAUUGAACUAUUGUUUGUCAAAAAGUUCAAGUAUUCUUAAUUCACGUGUGAAAGAUGAGGAGACUCCACUUCUUGCAGUGGGCACACAUAGACAGUGUGGGAUCUCUCUUCUGAUCCCAGCAGUGACAAGAUGGAUUACCUGUAGGUCAAUGGCCCAGAAUACAAUUAAAUUGCUUCUGGAGAAGGAAAAGACUCAUGAAAUGGAUGUGAACAUGUGUAUUGUGUGGGAUGGAACACUACAGUCAUUAAUCUUCCACGUACCCGAUCUCAGGAGUUGGCUUAGCUUCUCUAUCCAAACAACAACAAACUCUCAUUCCGAUCUUGUUCUAUACCUUGAUGAAUUGAAGAAAAUAAAGUUAAAACGAGCCAACAGACUAUGGACCUUAAACAAGCCAAG